CCCGAGCGCUGUGCACGCGCAGGAGCGGGCUUUGGGGGCGGGGACAACACAGCCAAUGGGCAACACGGCGCCUUUCGGGGACAAAGGAUUCUGACGUGGUUCCCUCUGAGACUGAAGUUGAUCCCUGCCGAUGUCUCCAGUGUCACUCUGCAAACUGAAGCAUCAACUGCUGAGGCAAGCAACAGUGGUUUGUGUCAUGGAAUUGUCUUCUUCUCCUGGCCCUGGACCCUAUGGAUAUCAAGACCAGCGACAUAAUUUGUGUGGCCCAGUGCAAAACGAAAACGUGGGGCUAUUUGUUCGAAAACCAGGAAUAAAGUGCCAUUAAAGAGCGCAGGGGGUUGCAGGCCGGAUAACAGAAACCCAGCCCUGCCCACUGGGUGAAGCUGCAGCUCUCCCACACAGCGAUCUGCAAAUCGAGAGCGUGAGAAACCUGCAAGUGGAGAGAGGAGCCAGAAGUAAUGCCUUCGAAAAUGGAACGGAUGCCUUCUCCUGAAAGGUGACUAAAUUCAUGUUUUGGAUGGUGGUAUUAACCUGUAAGAUUAGAGGGGAGAAAGGGCAUGUCCCCUGAGAAGAGCCAGUUCGCUCCCCUUACCUGUAGAUCAGAUGACCCCGUGCUAGCCUCCUGCCGCCUGAAGGGCUCCACCACGUUUCCUUCUGCUGCUACCCAAUAAAGAAGUCUUACAAGGGUGUUCCAAGACAAUUUUUAGAAAAAAGGUAAAAUCCUGAUCCUUAUACAGACAUAAAAAUGAACAUGUGUUAAAGAUUUUAUUUUACUCGUAAUAACUGAGGGAACUAGGCACGUGUUAUAACUGAUUUAAAAAAGAAGCAGCCCAGAUUUAUAGGGAGUAAAGAAUGUUGAAAUGAAUUACAAAUGGAGGCAAACAUUCCCCGC